AUUUCUUUCUCGGCCUUUUGGCUAAGAUCAAGUGUAGUAUCUGUUCUUAUCAGUUUAAUAUUUGAUAUGUGUGUCAUUGACUCACAUGAUAUUAACUCAAUUUUUAAGGGGAAGGUCCAUCACGAUAGCUUGCUAUUUUUUGAAUUUUCCCCAUUACUCAUGUUAAAUUUUCUCUAGGCCAAUAAGUUAUUAC
rnacentral:snRNA from 1 species